rnacentral:lncRNA from 1 species
ACAUCCAUGAAUACAUGUACAUACAUGUCUACGUCUGUAUCCAUGCCUACAUCCACAUCUGUGCCUACGUCCACAUCCAUAUCUACACCCUCAUCCAUAUCUACACCCACAUCCAUAUCUACACCCACGUCCAUGACUACACCCACAUCCAUACCUACACCCACAUCCAUAUCUAUACUCACGUCCAUGACUACACCCCCAUCCAUAUCUACACCCACAUCCAUAUCUACACCCACGUCCAUGACUACACCCACAUCCAUAUCUACACCCACAUCCAUAUCUAUACUCACGUCCAUGACUACACCCCCAUCCAUAUCUACACCCACAUCCAUAUCUACACCCACAUCCAUAUCUACACCCACAUCCAUAUCUACACCCACAUCCAUAUCUA